rnacentral:rRNA from 1 species
GUCUACGGCCAUACCACCCAGAAUGACCCCAAUCUUGUCUGAUCUCGGAAGCUAAGCAGGGUCAGGCCUGGUUGGUAUUUGGAUGGGAAACAGUGAGACUGCAAACA